rnacentral:rRNA from 1 species
UACGGAGGGGGCUAGCGUUGUUCGGAAUUACUGGGCGUAAAGCGCACGUAGGCGGACUGGAAAGUCAGGGGUGAAAUCCCGGGGCUCAACCCCGGAACUGCCUUUGAAACUCCCAGUCUUGAGGUCGCGAGAGGUGAGUGGAAUUCCGAGUGUAGAGGUGAAAUUCGUAGAUAUUCGGAGGAACACCAGUGGCGAAGGCGGCUCACUGGCGCGAUACUGACGCUGAGGUGCGAAAGCGUGGGGAGCAAACAGG